rnacentral:rRNA from 1 species
AUUGAACGCUGGCGGCAGGCCUAACACAUGCAAGUCGAACGAGUGGCGGACGGGUGAGUAAUGUCUGGGAAACUGCCCGAUGGAGGGGGAUAACUACUGGAAACGGUAGCUAAUACCGCAUACCAUCGGAUGUGCCCAGAUGGGAUUAGCUAGUAGGUGGGGUAACGGCUCACCUAGGCGACGAUCCCUAGCUGGUCUGAGAGGAUGACCAGCCAAACUGGGACCGGGGCAAGGUCCAGACUCCUACGGGAGGGAGGAGUGGGGAAUAUUGCACAAUGGGGGCAAGCCUGAUGGAGCCAUGCCGGGUGGAAGAAGGAGGCCUUCGGGUUGGAAAGUACUUUCAGCGAGGAGGCGUUACUCGCAGAAGAAGCACCGGCUAACUCCGUGCCAGCAGCCGCGGUAAUUC